UACGUAGGGAGCAAGCGUUGUCCGGAAUCAUUGGGCGUAAAGCGCGCGUAGGUGGCUUCGUAAGUCCGUUGUGAAAGUCAAAGGCUCAACCUUUGAAAGCCGAUGGAUACUGCGGAGCUAGAGUACGGAAGAGGCGAGUGGAAUCCUGGUGUAGCGGUGGAAUGCGCAGAUAUCAGGAGGAACACCAAUAGCGAAGGCAGCUCGCUGGGACGUUACUGACACUGAGGCGCGAAAGCGUGGGGAGCGAACAGG
rnacentral:rRNA from 1 species